rnacentral:rRNA from 1 species
UACGUAGGGUGCGAGCGUUGUCCGGAAUUAUUGGGCGUAAAGGGCUCGUAGGCGGUUUGUCGCGUCGGGAGUGAAAACCAGGUGCUUAACACCUGGCUUGCUUUCGAUACGGGCAGACUAGAGGUAUGCAGGGGAGAACGGAAUUCCUAGUGUAGCGGUGAAAUGCGCAGAUAUCAGGAGGAACACCGGUGGCGAAGGCGGUUCUCUGGGCAUGACCUGACGCUGAGGAGCGAAAGUGUGGGGAGCGAACAGG